UUUAACAGGGCAUUAAAAACAGACUGCAAAGUGAAAUAAUAUUUGACGUGGCAAGAAAGACCGGGCAGCAGAGCCUACCGGUUAACGUCUCAAUUGCGUUGUGCUUGUUUUGUCCAGCAGAGCGGGCUGCUCGCUAUAGCAGCUUCAUUCACUCUUCUACUAACUACAUGCUCGCUCUAGUUUUAGAGAAAACUGCUGUGGAAAACUCGGCCAGAACCUAACAAGUGUCAAGUGAAUCCACAACAUCACCACAAACGUCUUUUCAAGCCAGAUUGGAGAGGAUGGAGAAGAAGAAAUGAAGGGAGUAAAACGAGUGAAGCGAGGAGAGUGUAGAAGAGUGAGGUGGAAAGGUGAAGAGAAGGAAGACGAGUGAAGAAAAGAGGAGGAGAAAGAUUGGAGCAGAAGAAAAAGUUAAGAGAGUAAGAAGAGCAGACAGAGGAGGUACAAUGGCUCUUUCCAAGAAAUGGAAUGAAUGAUAUAUGGACAGCAGCAAGAAAUAGGCUCACUGUUCCUACGCUUAUUGUGAACACAAACUUCAACCUCCCCUGCCAGGAGCUCACGGUGAAGCUGGCCAAAGAGAGCAAUCCUGAAGAAGAUACAUUCUUCUGAGAAAUAUACAGAUUAGGCUACCAGGACCCAUGAAUGGCUGUUCAGAUCGGAUAGUUCUGUCUUGUCUGUAGUGUUUCUGUAAUACAGUUGUUUUCUCUGUCACAAUGUGCCUGUUAGACUAAAUACACAAAACCGGAAUUGUCCCCCUUUUUUUAUUUAAUUGAUAAUAACAUUGGAUAUUUUAAUGAUAUAUUGACAGCCGAACUGGAAAUAUCCCCGGUUUUAAUUUAAAAAAUGUGGUCACCUUAUUGUAAAUGUGAUAAAACAAUGGAUUGUUUGGUGGACCUCAGAUGUCUUCAAAAGAGAGAGUUACUGGAAUUUGCCAUGAUCAUUUUUAGAUUGCUGAGGUGUUGUUUUAUAACUCAAGUGAAACAAGUCAUUUAGGUUUACACAGGCAGCCCAAUUCUGAUCUUUGUUCCACUAAUUGGUGGAGCUGAUCUGAUUGGUCAAAAGACCAAUUAGUGAAGAAAAAUUCAGAAUCGGGCUGCCUAUGUAAAUGCUGCCAAACAUAUUACAUAUGUACGGUACACUCACAUGGAGUAUUUGAAAACAAGAACAUGAUCAAAUUAAAUGUUUGGUAGUUUAUCUUACAGUGAACGUUGGAGGAGAAGUAGGUUGUGCAACCAUAGACAGUCCAAUGUACUUGAUUGUGUCAGUUUCUGUUGAAAGGGGAAAGGCAGGCAUGCAGAAUCAACUAGUGUUUCUCAUUUUCAAGAUCCUGUUGACAUUUCAACAAUAUUUUAAUACUCGAUUAGCCAUGGUUACCGUGAAUAGGUGUUACAUGUUCUUAUAAUUAUUCAUUUUGUUAAGGUAACCACCAUUCUAAAUUGCAGUCCAGUAAGUACAGUAUAGUGUAUCAUCAACAUCCAUCUCUACCUUGAGGAGUGUAACAGUCUGUACAGUUUGUUCGGUCUUGAGCACAUCUACAGAUUCCACCAGAUCCAUUCUUCUGAUAUGGCGCACUGACCAUUACCCUGUGGGUGAAAAAAUAAAAAUGUUAGUUUGGUCGAUUUAGAUGACACUGCAUCCACUUCUAUUACAUAUGAUACACUUUAGAUCAAGAAUGGUUGCAUAACAUUUCUGACAAUGUUGGUAAAUUACUUUUGUAUAUCUGUUUUCUUUUGGUUACUAAGGUUAGAAUAGCAACUGCAUGGCGAAAGAGGAAAGCACGGUGUUGUCAGAGGUGUGAUAUGACAGAACACAAGUCAGAAUUUCCAUCCCGUCAAUGUAUGCAUAACUGAUACACUGAUCCACAUUAGUCAUGGGCUUUGGGUGCAGCUGACAUCAUUUAAGAAAGUAAAUAAGAAUAUAAUAUGUGGAUGCUACCAUGAAAGGAUCAUCCUCAAUGAGUCUUGAAUAAUAAUGAGUGAGAAAGUUACAGAGGCAUAACUCCCCUGUUAUUGUAAUGGUGAGAGGUUCGCAUGUCUUGGGGUGUGAUAUUUGUACGUCUAACAUUCAAAAGGUGUUGUACUUUCUAAACGCUUCACCAGACAUGGAUGAAGAUACCCUCAAAUUAAAGCUGCCAGACUGCACUUUAACCUCAUAGUCAUUAUAUAAUUUAAAAUCCAAAGUGCUGGAG